GAGGAAGGCGGGUCCCUGGCUCGGCUCUACCCCCAUGGAUCUAGGUGGGCUCAAUGUCAUCACAAGGGUGCUUAAGAGGGAAAGAGGAAGCCAUGAGGGUCAGAGUCAAAGGAAGACUUGAAGAUACUACACUGCGGACUUUAAAGAUGAAGGAAGGGGCGAAAACCAAGAAUGUGGGAAGCCUCUAGAAGCUAGAGAAGGCAAGGAAACAAAUUUUCCACUAGAGCCUCCAGAAGGAACACAGCCCUGCUGACCCACUGUAAUGUCUGACCUCUAGAUGUGUAAGGGUAGUAAGACUGAAAGUCUCAGAAAGGCACUGUUAAAUUCUUAUUCCUCAACUAUGCAACUCAAAACUGGGGUCCUCAGCAGUGAGCGAGGGGUGAGAGAAGACACUGUAUAAACAUGGCACAUCCUCCUGGAAAGUCAACUUUACUCAAAGGUUCUUACACACAGUGACAGCUAGCAGAGUCUAAAAUGCUGACAUUAUGACUUAGAGAUGUGAUAAAGAGAAACAUCUAUUGCAUUUUCUGUACCAAAAGCUCUUACUUCACCGGGGAGAUUUUUCACACGGGAGGAAAAGGACAAGUGGACUAUCACCUAGGUGGUCAGCUUACAACCUGAAUUUCUUGGAAAUGACCUAAUUUAAUUAUCUUCAUGGAUCUCCUUUGCUCUUUGAAUGAAGAGUAGUCAGCUAUUUUCUUUCUUUUUUUUUUUUUGAAUGGGGCUCUUGAGUGUCAGUUGCCAUUUUAAUGAAGUAGUGAUUUGGGCCCUUUCCUGAUAAUACAAGAGUUAGGUGUCAUGCUAGUUGGCUUGGCCCCUCUUAUUCCUCCAGUAUCCCUGAUAGGUCAGAUCAGAGUGAUUCUGGAGGGAAAGUAUGUUUCACUGUGGAUAUGUACAAUGGCAAUUCCCAGUUCUGGGAUUUAACUUAAUUCAAUUAUUCACAUGAUGAGUAGCAUCCACACACUCCUGGUAAAAUUUGAUAAAAUGCUGUAGCAUCAAGAUGCUUUUGUAGAGGCCUCUCUGCCAUUACCUGUUUUCUUGACUGGCAUUAAUCUCUACCAAAGCUAGAGACUUGAGCAUCAUCCUGAAUUCAGAGUCAUAAUCUGAUAGCUACAGGUCAAAGUUGGCCCAACGAUGUGUUGUUGGGAGUACCUUGAGCUUUGAAAAAAUAAAUAAAAGUAAUUAUCAACCCUGGAAAA
rnacentral:lncRNA from 10 species